CGGACGGGUGAGUAACGCGUGGGCAACCUGGCCUGUACAGGGGGAUAACACUUAGAAAUAGGUGCUAAUACCGCAUAAGCGCACAGUAUCGCAUGAUACAGUGUGAAAAACUCCGGUGGUACAGGAUGGACCCGCGUCUGAUUAGCUGGUUGGCGGGGUAACGGCCCACCAAGGCGACGAUCAGUAGCCGGCCUGAGAGGGUGAACGGCCACAUUGGGACUGAGACACGGCCCAAACUCCUACGGGAGGCAGCAG
rnacentral:rRNA from 1 species